CCUGGGAACCUGCAUGUGCUGUGGGUGUGGCCCUAAAAAGACCAAAAAAAUAAAUUGUUAAAACCAUAUGUGGUGCAAUUUAUCAUUUAACACUAUGAAUGAACUUGAGAGAAGUAAUUAUAAGAGGAGUCAGGUGCACUUCUCCUCCAAUACAUUUUAAUUUUCAAAAGGCAUUUUUAGUUCUUAUUGCACUUGAGGUACAAAGGCCUUGCCACACACUGCCUCACAGCGCUGAUUUCCCCUUGAUGUUUUAUCCUGUAUUUCCACAUAGAUACUCCAAUUUCACAUGCAAGUCACCUAGCCACUUCCCUCAUGAGUGAAAACGGUGAAGAUACAAAGAGAUGUGAAUGAGAGAUUACCAAAGAAUCACAAGGUGAAAAGGCUGUCAUACAAUCUAUAAAUUGUUUUUGCCUUGAACACUUGUUAAACUGGAAUAGACAAGUACAUGCCACCACCGGCAAUUACAGUUACCGCACUUUGGCAAGUUUUCUAUUCAAAUGCCAUUUCUAAAGCGCAGGCUAUUUGGGCGACUGGUUGCAUGUGGCCCAGGUGAGAAAUCAAAUGAUGCCUUAAUUACUGCCACUUUUUAUCAGUAUCCAAUUAGACCUUUUACCCUCCAUUAGCAGAGGGCUGUGUCUCAACACGGUUAUGGAGAGGUUUCCCAAAGCCACCGAGCGCACAACGAUAACUCAACUCGCUAUGAAUAGCUCAAGGGCAGAGGUGCUUUCUUCCAGGUCCCUAGACCCUCGCUUCCCACCCAGGGUCGGAGCGGCGUGGGUUGCCGGCUGGAAAGAAAAUGUCAAAGCCACUUAUCAGCGCCAUAGGAGUGGCUGGAGACGCGAGGCCACGCCCCUGAGAUGGUGCGUGGUGCCGCAGCCCCGCCCCGCCAGCAAAGGCGCCACAGGAAAGCAGUGGGGGGCGUGGCCUGCGUACCACCACGUGGUGUCGGGGGCGGGGCCUCGGCCAAAGUUGUCCCCAAGGCCAAGUCGGCUGCCCUGAAGCCCGGUUCGCGGGGGUUGGGGCGAGGCUAACUUCCUCUCACCUGCGUGAGGCUGGGCUGGGUCUGGGCACUCGCGGGCCUCGGUUUCCACGCCAAGAACCGUUUGAGCCAGCCUGGGGCUGCCUUUGGAGUCGCAGCUGCUUCCGCCUUCUGUCCUGAGAAUUCCUGGGGAGGGUCCAGCCAAGCUGAUCUGUUCCUGACUGGCCUUCAUCACUUCCGAUGAGGUCAUUUCUCUUCCUGCUGCAUAACCUGUUUUGGGGAUCCGAGGAGGAGGUUCCUUUCACCCCAGGGAAGAACUCCGCAUGGAUCUACUGCAGGAGCUGGAGCUGGAAAACCUGAGACCCAGGAGCAGAGACCUGCCUGAUGACAUGCCUCGAGGGGAACAGAAUCAACCCUGGAACCCAGGCCCACCCCACCCAGCACCCCUGUAGGUGCCUGGCCUGUGUGCAUGAGAUGGGAGUGGAGAGCGGAGGAAACUCUUGAACGGUCAGAAACAAGAGUCCAGAGUCCAUGAAACCACACCAGCCGACAAUCUGUCACUCAGUCAACAAACAUUAAUUGAGCAGCUACUCUGUGCCAGGCUUCUAGGUACAUGGGAUGCAACGGUCAAGCAAACGAACACCUCGGCUUUCAAGAAGCUUACAUUCAAGGGAGAGUUCUCAUUGUCCUGUGAUAAAACGCGGGGAGACAGAUGAUGAAAAGCCCACCUGACCUCAUCCAGUUCAGCCAGCCUGGAGGCCAAGGGAUGAAGCAUUUGACAUCUGUAGGAGUUCCUGUUGUGGCUCAGUGGGUUAAGGAACCCGACAUUGUCUCUGUCGAGGAUACAGGUUCGAUUCCUGGCCUCACUCAGUGGAUUAAGGAAGGGUCUGGCCUUGCAGAGCCUCAGAUCCCGUGUGAUGGUGGCUGUGGUGUAGGCCUCAGCUGGAGCACUCAUUUGACCCCUGACCUGGGAACUUCUAUAUGCUGCAGGUGCAGGAGUAAAAAGAAGAAAAGAAAAAUUUGACACCUGUAACCUCAGAAACUCAAAGCAACAGGUCCCACCUCUAGUGAGAGGGCGCCUACUCUCUUUUACCUUCACCUUGGUUCCAAGCUUGUGAAGCUGCUGGGUCCCCUGCCUGCCACCUGCUUGCCGCAGACCCCAGCAAAGAGGAGGACGGGCGCUGGAGCUGAGAUCCAUUUUACAGGGAGCCCCAGAGCCUUCUGGGCUGAGUCUGGGCUCUCGUCCUGGGAAGACAGAUUCCACGAAUGGGAUUUUGCUCUGCAAUGGCUCCAUUGUGCUCCCAGUGGCGCCAGGGCGGUUGGGUGGCGCGGCGAGGCUGCGCUCUGAGCCGGUGUGAAGAAGGUACCUCUGGCCUCGGCACCGCCUGGACCCAUCAACAGGCCUGGCGUGGAGCCUCCUGCUGGCAUUUUCCACGCCGGAUUGUGCUUCAGCCAGACUUCCUGUGCAGAGCUGGCCCGUCGUGAGGCCUGCGGGGGAGGGCAGGAGGAGGAGGGUGAGCCCUGGGGCUGCUGCCUGGUGGACAAACAAGAUGUUUAUUCAGGGGAGAAGGAGGAGGAGGCCCGGGAACGAAGCUACUGGUGCCUGGGUCUUUCCUUCCUGCCUUCCCCGCCUUGCUCUGCACACACACACAGCACUGCACCGGGGGCAGCGCCCAGGACAUCAACCCUGAAGGACUUGAGGACAGACAGACGGACACACAUACUCACACCAUACAACAAGGGGAUCCCGUGGACAAGCCUGUGUUCACAUUUCUGACAUAACCUUCCUAAACACACACACACACACAUACACACACACACUACCUUUGCAUUUUAAAGUCAAUUAACCCUGGCAAAACAGAGUUAAAGGGGUGGCACUUGUCCAAGGGCGUCACAGCAGCCACCAAUGCCAAGAUGGAGAAUCAGUCCAGAGACGGAAGGAGGUGGUGGCUGGCAUGGGGGUGGGGUUGCCAGGUUUGUGAUGUGGCGCCUCUGGGGUGAACAGAUUGGGCCUUGAUCUUGGAUACUGUCCUGGGAGGCUGCAGGGAUGAAGGUGCCUCCCUGGACUAAGGAGCUGGGCUCUGGGGCCCCCUGCAGAGACAGAACCUGAGAGUGGACAGAUGGACAGAUGGACUCCUAGAGGGAAGCUGAGGUGCCCCAGGGCCUCGCCCCUCAAAGUGGAUCACAGCUGGCAGCACGGCAUGGAAGCUUCUUAGAAAUGCAGCAUCUCGGGUCCAACACAGACUUACUGAGUCAGAGCCUGGUUAUCCAUUUACAUAUUCAAGUUCUGGAGGCUUUUCUCUAGAUGCUUCCUGGACCCUGAAUGAGGGUUUCCUUGUGGACAAGGCAUGAAUGACAACAUCGCUCUUAGCAGAUUCCCUUCUCGGAGUCUGCAAGUCGCCGUGUGAGGUCAGCCCAGCCAUCUCCCAGACUGCAGGUACGGCUGGCUCCGCCUGUGGUCUGCCAGAUGUAUUUAUUCAUUCAUUUCACAGUUGUUUGCUGUGCACCAUAUCAUAUCAUUUGAGAUAUGAUAAGCCAAAACCAGACGUGGUUCCUACUCUUGUGAAGUUUUCAGGCUUGAGGGAUUGGCCGAUAAGGCUUUCCUGAAGAAGUGGUGCUUGAGCUUUUGAAGAGGCGACUUUGGUGAAGAGGAGAGAGAAAUGUAUUCCAGGCAGAGAGAACAGCACAAGCAAAGGCCCUGGGGUAAGAUGGAGCAUGGCUGGUCUGAGGAACUAAAGAGCAGUACAGCUGGAGAGGGCAGAGAGCAAGAAAGACCAUUGUAUUAGUGAGACUGGGUGUAACAAUUUCCAGGGAGCCAGAGUUCCCUGGUGCCUGCCAUAGCCCUUGAUGGUUUCAGAGAAUCCUAGAAUGUCAGAGAUGGAAAGAACUUUGGGCUUCAUCCAGGCCAGUGCUUGAACCUGGCUUCAAGCCUUAGCUCCAUCAUAAAUUAACUGUAAAUGUGACCCUGGUGCAAGAAAUGACACCCACUUUGCCUAGGCUGGGAGUAGCUCAUGUAAGACUUCUCUGAAGAGUUAUUUUAGUUAGGAUGCGUGUUAGGCUGCUAUUAAAAAGAGACCCCAAAAUAUAGUGGCUUAAACAAGAAACAGCUUCAUUUCUCUCUCCUGUCAAAAGUCUGAGUAGAUGGUAUGGAGCUCAAUGAUGGCGGAAAGCUAGGUGUCUUUGGCCUUGGUGCUCUGUCACCAUCAGCACAUGGUUUCAUGUGGUCCAAAAGGAUGCUUCAGCUCCUGCCAUCACAUUUGCUCCCUUCUUUUAAAGAUCCAGAUAUUCGGAGUUCCCGUGGUGGCUCAGUGGUUAACGAAUCCAACUAGGAACCAUGAGGUUGAGGGUUCAGUCCCUGGCCUUGCUCAGUGGGUUAAGGAUCCAGCGUUGCCGUGAGCUGUGGGGUAAGUCACAGAUGCGGCUCGGAUCCCAUGUUGAUGUGGCUCUGGCGCAGGGCAGCGGCUACAGCUCCGAUUUGACCCCUAGCCUGGGAACCUCCAUAAGCCACGGGAGCGGCCCUAGAAAAGGCAAAAAGACCAAUAAAUAAAUAAAUAAAUCCAGAUCCAUGAUCCAGAUGCUGCCCCUGGCACUUCUGCUCAUAUCUCAUUGGCCAGAAAUUAGUCAUGUGGACUCAUCUAGAUGCAAGAGUCUAGGAAAUGUAGUCAUGGGCUGGGCAGCCAUGUGCCAGCUAAAAAUUCUAUUACUGUGUAGAAUGGGAGAAGGAAUAUUGAAGGGCCACAGAGUCUAAAAUAGAGUUGGAGCCAAGGAACCCCACCAGAUCUCUCCAGUAUUCUCCUCUUGGCCUUAAGCUGUCCUGGCCUCCUUCACUGAGUUCAUCAAAGCCAGGAUCCAACCUGCCCCACAAUUUUCCUCCAUUUCUACCAAGUUUGGGAAGUCAGUGCAGCCUGUGGAGGCUUUGGUAGUGGAGAGUUAUAGGCAUGGAAGGCAGGCCAGCCCUUGUCUGGCCCACUAUCCCACCUCACACUGAUUCUAGGAGGGCUUCAGGCAGGCUGUUAGGACAGAUUCAGGAAGAGGUAGGUUUCCAUUGCUCACAUACAUCAGAAGCUACUCCUCAGCCCUCACGGCGGCAGGAGAGGCCAGUCUGAGAUGGGCAGUGGGCAGGCUGUAUUUUCAUUACCUGCUCUGAGCCAGCACCAGGGGUAGUUCCACAGUCAGGUAAACAGCUGGCAGCAGCAGCUAAAGUGGCUAAGGAGAGCUUUCCCACCAGAUUGUCUGACCCCGAGAAAGCCAAAAGCAAUACUGGCAGAUUCCUGAGGCUGCAUCCCGCCCACUGCCUGGGCUACACAGCACAGCUGGCUGCUGGCAAUGGCUUCCUCUCUCGGCCUCUGCUAUCCACACACAUCUCCUCUGAGAGGGACAGGGGACGGUAUGUGAGGUAGGGGUUACAGGAGACUGGAGUUUCUCAUCCUCAGUGAUAUUGACAUAUUGGGCUGGAGGAUUCUUUGUCGUGGGGCUUCCCUGCACGUUGUAGGAUGUUUGGCAGCAUCCUUGGCCUCUACCCACUAGGUACCAGUAGCACCAUCCCCCUCCCCAGUUGCAGAUGUUUCUUGGGGGAGCAGUGCACACUCAACCCUGGUUGAGAAUCACUGGUGUAGAUUGACAAGGUCCUGAUUUACCAAAGGAAGAAGUCAGGGAUUGAUGGAGAGAGAGGGAGAGAAAAAGAAUGGGAGGGAAAGAAAAGAGAAAAACAGGGUGAGGGGGAAAAGAGGGAAGAAGAGAUACCAAAAAUAAGAAAAUGAUAUUAAAAAGGAAAAGAAAUAAAGUCUCUGGCCAUGCUGCUUUUUUAGUGGGGUUGGAAUUUGGCAUGGUAUCUCUUCCAGGUUUCUCUAAGCCUCAGUUUUUACCCCCAGAGAAUGGGCUAUUGCUUAAGAGAAAGUAUGUAGGACUAUACACUUUCAUCUCUUUGAUCUCCUAAACCCCAACAAGAUGAUCAUGAUGAGGCACAAGGACAAGAAGUAGUUGGCAAGAUUCUGGAAGCUGAGAAGGGAUGGACAGUUACUUAGCAUGGCAGAUGCUGCACCCUAGCUGCCUGGGGUAGGGGGUGGGGGCUGGGGAGAAUGACAAUAAGAAGCUGGUGCUUCAAGCUCUGGGAGCCUUGAACGUAUUAGCACUUGGGAAUGCCAGAUCCCUCUAAGGGGUGGGGGGUCCCGGAAUGGGGGCUGAGGACGAUUGGUGGGAAGUGGGUUAAGGAGCAGUGAUAAUCCCAGAUCCCCUCCUCCUUAUACAGCUGGAUACUGCCUUCCCCACUCUGGCAGAAAAUGGUCUGGCUUACCAACAGAGAGGAUUACACAGCUGAGGCAAGGGAUUAAGUGCAAGUCUGAACACUGAACAGUAAGUUUCCAUGAGCCCUUCACCAUUCAACAUCAGAACAUUGGAAACAGGUUUAUAUCCCCCAGCAAAUUCCAGGGAUUCUCUUUAGGGAAAUUGUCCCAAGAGAAGAGUCCUACAGAUAUUGACAUUUUAAGGUUUCUCAAUGAAAAAUUCAGCUGCCAUCAAAUCCACUAGGCACAAGUCCUGUUUAUAUAAUCAGAGCCUUAAUCUUAAAAAUGAGGAGUUCCCGUUGUGGCGCAGUGGUUAACGAAUCCGACUAGGAACCAUGAAGUUGCGGGUUCAGUCCCUGCCCUUGCUCAGUGGGUUAACGAUCCGGCGUUGCCAUGAGCUGUGGUGUAGGUUACAGACGCAGCUUAGAUCCUGCAUUGCAGUGGCUCUGGUGUAGGCCAGUGGCUACAGCUCCUAUUGGACCCCUAGCCUGGGAAUCUCCAUAUGCCGCGGGAGCGGCCCAAGA